rnacentral:rRNA from 1 species
CCUACGGGCGGCAGCAGUGAGGAAUAUUGGUCAAUGGCCGCAAGGCUGAACCAGCCAAGUCGCGUGAGGGAUGACGGUCCUAUGGGUUGUAAACCUCUUUUGUCAAGGAAUAAAGUGAGCCACGUGUGGCGUUUUGCGAGUACCUGAAGAAAAAGCAUCGGCUAACUCCGUGCCAGCAGCCGCGGUAAUACGGAGGGUGCAAGCGUUACUCGGAUUUACUGGGCGUAAAGGGUGCGUAGGCGGGUUUGUAAGUCAGUUGUGAAAGUCUGUAGCUUAACUACAAAACUGCAUUUGAUACUAGCAGUCGUGAGUGUAGGAGAGGUAGGUGGAAUUCUUGGUGUAGGGGUAAAAUCCGUAGAUAUCAAGAGGAAUACUCAUUGCGAAGGCGACUUACUAGAACAUUACUGACGCUCAUGCACGAAAGCGUGGGGAGCAAACAGGAUUAGAUACCCUAGUAGUC